AGCAGCCGCGGUAAUUCCAGCUCCAAUAGCGUAUAUUAAAGUUGUUGCAGUUAAAAAGCUCGUAGUUGAAUUUCGAGACCGGUUUACUGGUCGUGCUUUUGUACGUACUGGUAUAAUCGGUUUCUCUUUUCUGACGAACUAUAAUGCCAUUAAUUUGGUGUUAUAGGGAAUCAGGACUGUUACUUUGAAAAAAUUAAAGUGUUUAAAGCAGGCUCACGCUUGAAUACAUUAGCAUGGAAUAACGAAAUAGGACGUUUGAUUUUAUUUUGUUGGUUUCUAGGAUCGACGUAAUGAUUAAUAGGGAUAGUUGGGGGCAUUAGUAUUCAAUUGUCAGAGGUGAAAUUCUUGGAUUUAUUGAAGACUAACUACUGCGAAAGCAUUUGCCAAGGAUGUUUUCAUUAAUCAAGAACGAAAGUUAGGGGAUCGAAGACGAUCAGAUACCGUCGUAGUCUUAACCAUAAACUAUGCCGACUAGGGAUCGGAUGAUGUUAAUAUUAAUGACUCAUUCGGCACCUUACG
rnacentral:rRNA from 1 species